GACGGAGGGGGCUAGCGUUGUUCUGAAUUACUGGGCGUAAAGAGCGCGUAGGCGGUCUAAUAAGUUGGAAGUGAAAUCCCAAGGCUUAACCUUGGAACUGCUUCCAAAACUAUUGGGCUAGAGUACGGUAGGGGGUGAUGGAAUUCCUAGUGUAGAGGUGAAAUUCUUAGAUAUUAGGAGGAACACCUGAGGCGAAAGCGAUCACCUGGGCCGUUACUGACGCUGAUGCGCGAAAGCGUGGGGAGCAAACAGG
rnacentral:misc_RNA from 1 species